rnacentral:rRNA from 1 species
GAUGAACGCUGGCGGUAUGCUUAACACAUGCAAGUCGAACGAAGUCUUCGGACUUAGUGGCGGACGGGUGAGUAACGCGUAAGAAUCUACCUAUAGGUUCGGGACAACAGUUAGAAAUGACUGCUAAUACCGGAUGUGCCGAGAGGUGAAAGUUUUAAUGCCUAUAGAUGAGCUUGCGUUCGAUUAGCUAGAUGGUGGGGUAACGGCCUACCAUGGCGACGAUCGAUAACUGGUCUGAGAGGAUGACCAGUCACACUGGGACUGAGACACGGCCCAGACUCCUACGGGAGGCAGCAGUGGGGAAUUUUCCGCAAUGGGCGAAAGCCUGACGGAGCAAUACCGCGUGAGGGACGAAGGCCUGUGGGUUGUAAACCUCUUUUGUUAGGGAAGAUAAUGACGGUACCUAACGAAUAAGCAUCGGCUAACUCCGUGCCAGCAGCCGCGGUWA